CAAAAUAGAUCAGUUGGUGUAGCACUUGCGAGGCACAGCUGAGCAUAAAUUGAAAUCAUUUGCCUUUUUAUUUUACUGUACUGACGGUACCUGCAUCUGAUGGUCAUGGUUAUUUCAAGACAACUGGGAACUCGGGGAAAAGGGAGGUAAAAUCAUGACGUCAGUGAUCCUCAGAUCGGAAAAUGGAAGCUCCAGAAAGAUGCCCGAGUUUUCUACUUGGAAUUCCGAGUUGGAUGUUCAAAAAUAUUUUUGUCAGUCGGAUCUAGUUUUUUUUCUUCGAGUUCCCAGUUGUCUUGAAUACACUGAAGUCGGAGAGAGGGAGCUGAGGGAUGGAGAGAGCAGCAAAGGGUCCGCCUCUCACCGUCCUUUCCUCCAGUGAGACUGACGAGAGGGGACAACGUCUUCCAACUGAUGGCGAAACUCCAGUCGCACAGCAUCUGCCUCAUGCUGAGUCAUGCACAAGUUCAUGUUGUUCCUAUGACCAGAGAAAGUGAAAUAUUCCUCGAUAUUAAAAUACACACGACGAGCUGCUAAUAAUAAAAAUGCAGGGCUAUUGAUACGCUUGGCUACUAAUUAAUUUCAGCUGCAGCACAAGUGAUAGUAUGGAGAAGCGCGUUUUCUGUUUUGUAAAGGUGUUGAAUAAAAACAGUGUUGACAGUGCUGAAUAAAAACUUAAACAUGAACUCACUCAUAAAAAUACCAGCUCCUUGCGGUAUUAUUUGACAGUCUCUCUGGUCAUGGUUUUUAAUAGUUAUGAAAUCUCAUAUAGGCUAAUAUCAAACUACACUGGAAGCUGUAGGCACGUGGAUUUGAGCUAUCCUAUUGGCCAGUAAGUAGACACUCGAUUUAGCCACAGAUAUCCUGGUCCGCCAGGUAGUUAGUUUGGUUUUUCAGACAAAUAAAAAGGUUCAAAAUGGGAACACUUUGUCUACGCAGGGCUUCUGAAUCAAGUGCACCUACCAUCAACUGCGCGACACGAAUUUUAAAAAAGGAGCGCAAGUCUUUAUCGUUGGCUUUUCUACAAAAAUGUUUGGUGAUCGACUAGGAAUGCUUUCACCGAUUGGUGACCACUGAGCUAUACGUUAGAAUGUAGCAACUGUACUAGGGAGCAUGUAAUGAUAACAAUGACAAUAGUGCUAAUGGAAUAAUAGCUUCAAUUGAAUAGCAUUGUAAUAACAUAGGCCAGUGGUACUCAUUGCGGCUCUCGGUGAUUUUCCUAGUUUCCAUUGACAAUACAUAAAUUAUACAAUUUAAAUUAAAUGUGUUUAAUUAAUGCAGGCCUGAAUCACUUCAUAGGCUAUGUCUGUUGCUCCUUGGACCGCAGAUAGAUGGCAGUAUAGCGCAGCUGUUAAACAGAAAGUUUGCCGAAAUAGAACGCAACUGCUCAGCUGCAUCGACCAACACAUCAGUUUGCUACUAGCUAAUUUUGCAGUCUGGUAGACAUGGAUCGAUUUAUUGUAAAAAAUAAACGUAAAUCUAUUGACAAUGAAAAUUAGGGGGGAAGAGCUGGGGAACAACGUGUCAGCUAUGAACGAGCAACCAUCGGAGAACCAGGAAAAUCAGGAAAAUGGCGGCAGGGAAAUGCGGUUAGCUAACGUGGCUCUGGUGGCUAAGAGAAGAAUAAGGUCGAUUCAAGAAGAAUACAGAAAGUUCCAAGAGAAAUGGACAGACAAGUAUUUUUUUGUACUGCAUAAUGGUACUAGCUCGCAUUGUCUUAUUUGCCAGAAGGCAGUCAAUUGUUUAAAAAAUGCAAGUUUAGAGCGACAUUUCCAGUCACAUCAUGCACACUUUGACAAAACAUCCGCCACCAAGCAACCUCAGAAACAACAAAAUAGCGCAACUCAAAGGACAGCUAAAAGGACAACAACAAAUGACGGACAGAUCUAGCACUGUUGCAGAGAAAAUGACAGAGACAACAUAUGAGAUUGCUUGGGAUACACACGAGAAACAAGAAGGCCUUCACAGAUGUGACCUCAGCUGAAAUGUUGUAUGCUGAUUUCACAAACAAGGAAUCUAUUAAAUCUAUUAAAGCAAAUUAAGGGACUGCAACUCUCAGACUCGACCAUAACAAGACGCAUAGAAGACAACACAUCAGUGGCGCAGUGUUUUUGUAUUGUGCUUGAUGACAGCGCUGAUGUAAGUGACAUUGGGCAAUUAUAUGUUUGGGUUCACUUCCCUCAAAACGAGUCGUUCAGAGAGGAACGUUUAUGUUUACUGCCCCUUCAGGGACAAACAGGAGGAUGGGAUAUUCUGAAAGCCCUUGUUACAUAAUAUUGACAUUGUCAAAUCUGGCAUCUGUGUGCACUAUCGGUGCCCCAAAUAUGCGAGGGGAGGAGAAGGGACUCAACAAUGAGCAUUGUGAAACAAAAACAGAGAAACAGACUGACCAAUGCACACCUGGAUUGCCUCACAGGGAUAGCAACAACAGACUAAAUUUAGAAUGAAUUCAGUCAAGGAGCAGAAGUGACAUUGAGGACUACAAUGGAGCAUUCUUACCCAGAUAAAUGGCUUGGCUACGAUGCUCCACUCUUGAAGAAGUGUCAGGUAUUCAUCAGUGACAGAUGACAAAACAGGCUCACGUGUUCACCAAAUUGAAAAUGGGGAUUGACCAACACAGAUAGAAGGAAUGGAUAUGCCUUCAGAGAAGGAUGCCCAAACCCAAUGGGAAGACCCAUCUCUAAGUGAUCACAGCUCAGGUGAUCAUGUAAAGCCCACUACCUGUGAGGCAGGGACACAGUGCCCAGCAGGACCUCUCUACAAAACCGUGCUGAGGAACGAAGCACUCUGUCGACUGCAUACAGCCUUGUUGCCUUUUCUACCCUGGCGGAACAUCUUCUACCCCUCUACAAAGGCAGCUUUCAGUUAGACCUGACAUACUAAUUCCUGAUGACACUGAUGAAGCUGAAGCUCAACUUGCUGCAGCAGUACCUAGCAGAAAGGUUUGGUGUUUCCCAGAGUAUUGUCAGUUGAGUGAUUUAGUUAUUGGAUCGACAUGAUGGAAGAGAAUCUGAGGGAGUGCAUUCCAUGGCUGCCAAGGGAGACCAUCCGUGCUACAAUGCCACAAUGUUUUAAGGACCACUACCCAGGAACAACCUGCAUUAUUGACUGCUCAGAAACUGUUUUACAGAAGUGCAAGGUUCUGGAUUCAAAGGGGGAGUCAUUCAGCCAUUACUACGCCUAGAACACUAUCAAGUACCUGGUGGCCAUUGCACCUUGUGGUCUAGUGAUGUUCAUCUCCUCAGCAUAUGGAGGUAGAUGUAGCGACAAAUAUAUAACAUUGGAUUCUAGGUUCCUGGAGUACCUCUGUCCAGGUGAUGAGGUCAUGGCUCACCGGGGCUUCACAAUCAGUGAUCUGCUACACGAGAGGAAGGUCAAAUGAACAAUUCCAGCCUUCACAAAAAGAGGCGCACAGCUGUCAGAGGAGGACACCACAUGUACAAGACGGAUAGCUAACGUGAGGGUUCAUGUGGAACGCGUAAUUCAAAGGCUCAAAUGGUUUAGAAACAUCUCACAGACAGUGCCAAUCAACCUCUCAUCUAAAAUGGACAAAAUACUUUGAAUCUGUGCCGCCCUGUGUAACCUGCGUGGCGAUAUCAUUCAUGAAGAUGCUGAAUGAACUGACCAGUCAAAUGCCAUUCACAGGGUCGAUUUCCCAAUAUGAAUUAAAGUUGUGUCAAAAGUUACAUGCAAUUUCAAUUCAUUCUAUAACAACUCAACUUAAUUAUUUGUUUUACAUACUGAUUCAUAUUAAUAAAAAAAACGAAGCCAUAAAAACAGUUUCCACAGUACUGUGACUGUUGAUGCAUUAAGUCAGGCUUUUUAACUGGAAAACAAUGUGUUAAUAGUAACUGCAAACAGGAGAGACAUCUGACCACAUACUUCUACAGAGCUGCAUAUAUUUGUCACUCGGUGACAAUCUGCCUGCCUGAUGAUCCUCAACAAUAAAUGGCAGCAUGUGUAUAAAGUAGAAUGCCUUCAACCUCAGCACAGCCUCUGCACAGAACUGUGCAUCAUAGGGAACAGGGAUGACAACUUGCUGGGAUGGAGUCCAGAUGAGCACCUUACUUUCUCUCAGUCCUGUGCUAAACAUACCAAUUUGCGCACCUGCAUGUAGUAGCCACGUGGCCCAUGUGGUUGCAGUUGGGGUGUGCCCUCCACAUCACAGGCUUUCCCAUUGAAGACAUCAUCCAGAGAAUCAUAGCCCUUCCCCAUGACUGGACACUUGAUCUCCAACAGCUCCUUGGAGUUAAGCACUCCAUCAGGGCUUGCUGGUAGCCAUGGCUCUUCAACACUGACAACAGUGCCUCUAUGGUCCACAGAGUAACCACAGUCUUCCAGCCACUGGGUGGCCAUCAGCACAUUAUCUUUCCCGUAGCAUGUGGCUGCACUCCCUCGGGAACCUGGGAUACAGAUGAUCCUGGAGAAACUUACCAGGGUUAGUGGAUUCCCUGACGGACCUUCUUUCUUGCAGAAACUCAAAGCUUCCUUGAGUCAUGCCACAAGUGUGAGACACUCUGCUCCUUUGUGAUCUGUUCCUAAGUAGUCGACUGGGUUGGGUCAAGUUUCACAAAUUCAUUGUAGAAGGACAGGCACUUCUGGCAGUUGUAAUUGACAUGCUCUCCAUGUGGCUGGGAAAGAGUAGAGAAUCUAUAUGAAGUUAUUAUAUGGAGUUAGCAAGCAUUGAGCAGAAGAGAUACACAUCAGUUCAAAUACAUUAAAAUGGUACAGCCACAAAUAAAUAUUCCUUUCAGUCCAAUUUUACCUGGGAUGCUACUGGCUGUGAUAUUAUUGUCGGUUCAGCAUUAACACACUUAUAGAGCAGACUCCCCACAGGCCGAUUCAGGUGUCUCAAGCUCCUAUUCAAUUUCUCAUGUGAGUGGAAUGCAGGAGUGGACAUUCUGGAUGCUUUUCUGCAUAUUGGUCACUGGCCUUAUGGUGUGUGAAGUCAAUGCUGGUUAACCGCUUUGACUCAAGGUUCCUCCCAAGUCCCUGCAUUCCAUUGUCGAUGCUCAUCGGUGCAGGCUAUGCCAGUUAGCCCACUGGACACUGCAUUCUGCACCUGUGAUAGAAUGUUUGUUACAAAAAAAAGACAUUCAGAGAAAAUCACAUUAUUAACAAUUGUGUGACUGAGGACUAUGUGAUCAACUUAAUCAAAACACAUGCAAGUUACAUCAUAAACUUACCUUGCUAUUGUUCCCAAUGAGAUGAGACCACUUAAACUUACCAUACUUUAGGCAUUUGUCAUAGGGGUCAUUGAAAGGAGGCCAAGGCACAGCAUGUAUAGUGCUCAUUCUUUGUCUUUAAUGAAUACACUUCAACAACAAAAACGACCAACAACAGUUCCGUCAGGUACACUAGACUAAACGGAAACAACUACCCACAAACCCCAAAGGAAAACAGGCUGCCUAAGUAUGGCUUCCAAUCAGAGACAACGAAAGUCACCUGCCUCUGAUUGGAAACCAUACCCGGCCAAAACAUGGAAAACGAAACAUAGAAAUAGAAUUCCAGCACGAUCCCACCUAGAAACAGAAAACCCCAAAACCACCCAAAACAACCACCUGUCACACCCACUAUGGCAAAUGACCUCUUACAAUGGUCAGGACGUGACAGCAUUGCCCCCAACCACAAGGAUAUUUUACAAACCUUAUUCACCCAGAAAAACAAUAACACUAAAGAAAUACAUGUGAUGCUGACAUGUUAAAAUAAAUUGUAUACCCUACUCACCUGGACUCCAUAAAUCUUCCUUGCCUCACCAACAUGAUUUGAUAGGAUACUUACAGAUUCCCCACAUUAAUACAGCAGUUCUGUUGAUUCACAAAUACAUGUUAACAUAACCAAUAAAUUAUGACAUGGAGUAUGGUUGAGCCGAGCGUUCUGACCUCAUAACGGCAGUCAAGCACCCAAGCUAACUGGCUAAAGUUAGCUCGCUUGAUAGCUACUUCCAGACAUAAAUGAGAGAACAUCUCACUCUGACCAUUUUACUCGCCCUAGCAGAGCUGGUUAGGCUGUUUUCAUGUUAUCCAGAGCGUUGGUGACUAACUGUGCUGCUGGCAAUAAUUUAAUUACGCUUUUUUGCCGACGUUUACUGACACCGGCCAUAUUCAACGGUUGUUGAGCGUUUGUAAAUUCAUCAGUUAUUCUGCGCUCUGGCACACUCAGACCAGAGUGCACUGAAAUCGGAGUAGAUAGCCAGAGUGAAUUUACAAACAUACCCCUACUCCUCGGCCGAGUGUCCAGUGUGCGCUCAGAGAGCAAAACGCUCUGAAUUUACAAACAAUCUGACA
rnacentral:lncRNA from 1 species